UACGAAGGGGGCUAGCGUUGCUCGGAAUCACUGGGCGUAAAGGGUGCGUAGGCGGGUCUUUAAGUCAGGGGUGAAAUCCUGGAGCUCAACUCCAGAACUGCCUUUGAUACUGAAGAUCUUGAGUUCGGGAGAGGUGAGUGGAACUGCGAGUGUAGAGGUGAAAUUCGUAGAUAUUCGGAAGAACACCAGUGGCGAAGGCGACUUACUGGACACAUAUUGACGCUGAGGUGCGAAAGCGUGGGGAGCAAACAGG
rnacentral:rRNA from 2 species